rnacentral:rRNA from 1 species
GCGCAGCAGUCGCGAAACCUCCGCAAUACACGAAAGUGUGACGGGGCCAUCCCGAGUGCCGUCCGCUGAGGACGGCUUUUCCCCAGUGUACACAGCUGGGGGAAUAAGGAGAGGGCAAGCCUGGUGUCAGCCGCCGCGGUAAUACCAGCUCUCCGAGUGGUGGGGACGCUUAUUGGGCCUAAAGCAUCCGUAGCCGGCUGGGCAAGUCCUCCGUUAAAUCCAACGAUUCAAUCGUUGGGCUGCGGGGGAUACUGUCCAGCUUGGGGGCGGGAGAGGCCGACGGUAUUCCCGGGGUAGGGUGAAAUCCUAUAAUCCCGGGAGGACCACCAGUGGCGAAGGCUGUCGGCUAGAACGCGCCCGACGGUGAGGGAUGAAAGCU